UACGAAGGGGGCUAGCGUUGCUCGGAAUCACUGGGCGUAAAGCGCACGUAGGCGGCUUGUUAAGUCAGGGGUGAAAUCCUGGAGCUCAACUCCAGAACUGCCUUUGAUACUGGCGAGCUUGAGUCCGGGAGAGGUGAGUGGAACUGCGAGUGUAGAGGUGAAAUUCGUAGAUAUUCGCAAGAACACCAGUGGCGAAGGCGGCUCACUGGCCCGGUACUGACGCUGAGGUGCGAAAGCGUGGGGAGCAACAGGAUU
rnacentral:rRNA from 1 species